GAUGAACGCUGGCGGCGUGCUUAACACAUGCAAGUCGAACGGAAAGGCCCAAGCUUGCUUGGGUACUCGAGUGGCGAACGGGUGAGUAACACGUGGGUGAUCUGCCCUGCACUUCGGGAUAAGCCUGGGAAACUGGGUCUAAUACCGGAUAGGACCACAUUUUGGAUGGUGUGGUGGAAAGUUUUUCGGUGUGGGAUGAGCUCGCGGCCUAUCAGCUUGUUGGUGGGGUAAUGGCCUACCAAGGCGUCGACGGGUAGCCGGCCUGAGAGGGUGUACGGCCACAUUGGGACUGAGAUACGGCCCAGACUCCUACGGGAGGCAGCAGUGGGGAAUAUUGCACAAUGGGCGCAAGCCUGAUGCAGCGACGCCGCGUGGGGGAUGACGGCAUUCGGGUUGUAAACUCCUUUCGCUAGGGACGAAGCGUUUUUGUGACGGUACCUGGAGAAGAAGCACCGGCUAACUACGUG
rnacentral:rRNA from 1 species